rnacentral:tRNA from 1 species
GGCAAUCUGGCCGAGCGGUCUAAGGCGUCAGACUCAAGAGAGUUUCCUCUUCUGCUAAGUCUACUUAGUGGAGUAUUCUGAUCCUCGUACGAGGGCAAGGGUUCGAAUCCCUUGGUUGUCA